UGGAUGUUAAGAAAUGCACAUUUUUUCCAGCUGCCUGUGCCUCAGCUUUGAGAAACUUUGCCUUAGACACUCACAUGGUGCCUAAGGGAUUCCUAAAGGCAUUAAACUGCUAAGCCUAAGAAAUCAUAAUUCUUUUUUAAAUGGACAUUCUUAUAUAUAAUCAUAAUGAAGACUGAACAAAGCACAUCUCUCCCCUUUGCUUCCACUGUCUUCAGUGAGAGCACUUCUCAAGAGUAUGUGUUGCAGUUUUGUUACAGCAUAUUUCAGAGCAUUACAAUCCUGAAUUAAAAUGAAGGUCAUUUCUGUGAGGCCUGGGCUAGACAAGAAGUAUUUUCCCUGAAAAACUGUCCUUAGAAUCAUCAGGAGAGACCAGAAUGCACUGUGGAGGGUAUCAGAGAUCUUGAGCUAUAGAGAAAGAUGAACCCUUUCAAUCUUCAAAUUACAGUCCUUGGUAAUCAUAGCAUCAGCGUCUCUGAGAUACGAAUUCAGAGCAGGGGGCAACGCCUUGAAGAGGAUUGACAAUGUG